GAGUAUCUUCUAAUGGGAAUCCCUGGAGAUAGAGAAAGUCAGGCAGUGGUUGACCCUCCUCCCCAGGCUGUGAGUACCAGAACUCCUCAGUCUCCAGCAGUAUCUGCAGCUGCAGCAACCAGGACAGCAAAGACAACCACUUCUGAAGGCCACCCUCUUGAAUUUUUAUGGAAUCAGCCUCACUUUCAACAGAUGAGACAAAUUAUACAGAAGAAUCCUCCCUUGCUUCCAGCCUUGUUACAGCAGGCAGGUUGGGAGAACCGUCAGUUUCUGCAGCAAAUUAGCCAACAGCAAGAGCAUUUUAUUCAGAUGCUAAAUGUACCAGUUCAGGAAGCAAGUGGUCAAAGUGGAGGAGGAGGUGGCAGAGGAGGCUAUGGAGGUAGAGGUGGUGGAGGAAUUGCAGAAGCUGGAAAUGGGCACAUGAACUACAUUCAAGUAACACCUCAGGAGAAAAAAAGCUAGAAUGCUUAAAAGAAUUAGGAUUUCCUGAAGAACUUGUGAUUCAAACCUAUUUUGCUUGUGAGAAGAAUGAAAAUCUGGCUGCCAACUAACUCUCUUCUACAGCAGAACUUUGAUGAAGCCUGA
rnacentral:lncRNA from 1 species